GAUAUGAACCGUUAUAACCGGCGAUACCCGAAUGGGGAAACCCAGUGUGAUUCGUCACACUAUCAUUAACUGAAUCCAUAGGUUAAUGAGGCGAACCGGGGGAACUGAAACAUCUAAGUACCCCGAGGAAAAGAAAUCAACCGAGAUUCCCCCAGUAGCGGCGAGCGAACGGGGAGGAGCCCAGAGCCUGAAUCAGCAUGUGUGUUAGUGGAAGCGUCUGGAAAGGCGCGCGAUACAGGGUGACAGCCCCGUACACAAAAGCGCAUGUGCUGUGAGCUCGAUGAGUAGGGCGGGACACGUGGUAUCCUGUCUGAAUAUGGGGGGACCAUCCUCCAAGGCUAAAUACUCCUGACUGACCGAUAGUGAACCAGUACCGUGAGGGAAAGGCGAAAAGAACCCCGGCGAGGGGAGUGAAAAAGAACCUGAAACCGUGUACGUACAAGCAGUGGGAGCACCCUUCGGGGUGUGACUGCGUACCUUUUGUAUAAUGGGUCAGCGACUUAUAUUCUGUAGCAAGGUUAACCGAAUAGGGGAGCCGGAGGGAAACCGAGUCUUAACCGGGCGUUAAGUUGCAGGGUAUAGACCCGAAACCCGGUGAUCUAGCCAUGGGCAGGUUGAAGGUUGGGUAACACUAACUGGAGGACCGAACCGACUAAUGUUGAAAAAUUAGCGGAUGACCUGUGGCUGGGGGUGAAAGGCCAAUCAAACCGGGAGAUAGCUGGUUCUCCCCGAAAGCUAUUUAGGUAGCGCCUCGUGAAUUCAUCUCCGGGGGUAGAGCACUGUUUCGGCUAGGGGGCCAUCCCGGCUUACCAACCCGAUGCAAACUGCGAAUACCGGAGAAUGUUAUCACGGGAGACACACGGCGGGUGCUAACGUCCGUCGUGAAGAGGGAAACAACCCAGACCGCCAGCUAAGGUCCCAAAGUCAUGGUUAAGUGGGAAACGAUGUGGGAAGGCCCAGACAGCCAGGAUGUUGGCUUAGAAGCAGCCAUCAUUUAAAGAAAGCGUAAUAGCUCACUGGUCGAGUCGGCCUGCGCGGAAGAUGUAACGGGGCUAAACC
rnacentral:rRNA from 1 species